ACUGGUGAUGCGAUUGGUGUUGCUGUUGCGACCCAUCAACCAAGAAUCCACUAGCGGACGAAGAUGAUGCUGGAGACGGUGAAAUAGUUAAAUGCUGCUGUUGUUGGUGGAUGGGGGAAGAUGCCGUCGAUGAUGACGAGGUGAUGUGCCAGCAAGUUGCGACGGAUGAACUUGGUGAUGCGCGUUGUUACUUUGCUGCUGAUGGCCGACAUUGUGGUUUUGCGAAUGUUGCGAAGUUGUUCCCAGAUUCGUCGGAUACAUCCGAUAUCCGCCUAAACAGGAGGAAAGAAGGAAGCCCCUCCACUGGAAUAAUUUGCAGUCGUCGAGGACGACGUUCUCGACGUCGAUGUCAAUGGUGAAGUUGGCGAUAAAGAAGUAAAUCCGUUGCCAUGGAAACAUCCUCCACCUCCUCCACCGAAUAAUGAAACUGCCGUUGUUAAAGCGUUGCUAUUGGAUGAUGACGUCGGCAUGCCGGACGAUGUUGCACCUCCGCCUAAGAGGCUCAACGAAGACGACGGGGUGGCCGAAUUGUAUCGUUGAUGAUGCGAUCCAUAAAGAUGUGAUGAAAGAGAUGAGGCCAAUGAAGAGGAAGAAUGUAACAAAGUCGACGAUGAAGAUGAUGAUGGAGAUGGCGAUGGAGCCGGGAGUAAAUUAAAUUAAGCCGAGAUUGAUUCACGAAACACAACGACGCACACGCAAUCAAGUAUUUUUCGCUCUUUCUUCGUCUCCCGAGCGAGAGCAGCCGAAACGAGGAAGAAUGGAAGAAAAUGUUGUCUACAGCACACACCCACUCGAGAGAAAUGUUUGAAUUCGAUUAGCCAAAACUCGUUUAACGCUUCAAGGUGGCUGCCACGAGUCUACUUUGAGCUAGUUGUAUACUGUUCAAGCGCUGUCAGAUUGGCACCAUAUUCAAUUAUAGCCGCAGCCGCCGCCGAUGAUACAGAAAAGCUAAUGCAAUAAUGAAAUCAAGUUAAGCAAGCGCUGAUCUGGUUGAGAGCGAAAGGGGGGCGAGACUGAAAAAUACCUGUUGUUAUACUCUUUUCUAUAUAGGACCUGCCUGGCCGAAGCUAACUAGCUUCCAAACUGCGCAGACGGACAAACGAGGGCGAACACACAAGCUGCUUCAACGGGUGGACAACAACAGCCGCUAAAUUCCUCUUAUCGGCCUUAAUUCAAUCAACUCUUCCGUCCCUGCCGCACUAUAUCCUCACCAUGUAUAGACACAAGACACCCUUCCGAUCCAGGAUACAAACUCCGCCCCCUUUUUCCCUUAUUCUCUUCGGAGCGGAACUCGAAUUCUUCUUCUUUUGGGACAGCCAGCACCAAUCCGCAGCUAGGGGGCGGUUUUCUUCGUCCGGAUUGGACCAGCACAUGUCCGGAUUUUGUGGAAGGGGGGUUUCUAAUCGGCGCAGAUCUCAUCGUGCGUGAGAUAGCCUACUAACAAAGCUCAGGCUUAAACGAUGGCCGGUCAGUGAACGCGUGCAAACAUCUCGCUAAACUGCUCAAGACUAGAAUCGUGUAGCUGAUAACACGCAAGGAAGGCUCGAAUCCAAAACUUUCUAUUGCAAAGUGGGGGUGAAACAAGUUUAUCUUUAUGAUUGUCUUUAAACUUUUUCACAGGUGAUUUUCUAUGGAUACCUUUGCGAGGUUGUAUGAGAGGAAAAUGUGUUUCAUUGGAAAGGAAUUUGUUUGUCAUUUUUAAUGUCAACUGUACUUUCGGUGGCCCUACGUUAAAAACUGACUCAAGGCAUUCUACAUCUGCGGACAAAUGAGAAUCUGAGGAAAUUGUUUUGUGGUUUUCCCGGUCGGUGGAUAUCACAAGUGUUAUUCUGUGCUGUUAUCAUAAUAGUUGGCAAAAAGUUUUGCGACAUUGUUUAAAUGAAGCAUUCGUCGAAGUUUAACAUUCAAAGAGUGCUCGCGUCAAAAAACUGAGCAUUAAAUUAAUGAUAAAAGUUUCAUAACGUGCAAUUUCACUAUUUCUUAUUUGUUUUCUUCUGCAUAGACUUAUACUUACAAUCAUGUAUUCCAUACAUUGUCUCGUCAAUUGUGUGGCUUUUGACAUUUCGUGUGAUCAAUUAGCCAUUGUAGGUAGCUGGUAAGGAGUGGGAAACGCCUCAAUCUUGUAUUUUU